rfam:Brachypodium distachyon strain Bd21 chromosome 2, whole genome shotgun sequence.
UUGAUACUCCCUCCAUCCCAUAUUAAGUGUCGAAAUAUUACAUGUAUCUAGACGCGUUUUAGUGUGUAGAUGCAUCCAUAUUUAGACAAAUUUAAGACACUUAAUAUGGGACGGAGGGAGUACAUA